UCCCUAGAUGUUCUGGGCCGCACGCGCGCUACACUGAACAGUUCAACAAGUCUUAACCUUGGCCGAUAGGUCUGGGUAAUCUUUGAACGCUGUUCGUGAUUGGGAUAGACCUUUGCAAUUAUGGGUCUUCAACGAGGAAUUCCUAGUAAACGCAAGUCAUCAGCUUGCAUUGAUUACGUCCCUGCCCUUUGUACACACCGCCCGUCGCACCUACCGAUUGAAUGGUCCGGUGAAAUCUCGGGACGGCGGCUUGGUCGCUUGCGUCCGACUGCUGAAACUUGAUUAAACCAUAUCAUUUAGAGGAAGGUGAANUCGUANCA
rnacentral:rRNA from 1 species